rnacentral:tRNA from 1 species
GGAGACAGCUCAGUUGGUAGAGUGCCUGCCUCCCAUGCAAGGACCUGGGUUUAAUCCCCAGCCCCA